GGCUGUUUAGUUUAAUAAAACAUGUGUUUUGAAAGCAUAAGAUAAGAAAACUGAUUCUUAAUAGCU
rnacentral:tRNA from 1 species